rnacentral:rRNA from 1 species
UGGGGAAUUUUGCGCAAUGGGGGAAACCCUGACGCAGCAACGCCGCGUGAGUGAUGAAGGCCCUUGGGUCGUAAAGCUCUGACAGAGGGAAAGAAAUGUAGGAUGGCUAAUAUCCAACUUACUUGACGGUACCCUCAAAGGAAGCACCGGCUAACUCCGUGCCAGCAGCCGCGGUAAUACGGGGGGUGCAAGCGUUGUUCGGAUUUAUUGGGCGUAAAGCGCGUGUAGGCGGUUUUAUAAGUCUGAUGUGAAAGCCCUGGGCUCAACCCGGGAAGUGCAUUGGAUACUGUAAGACUUGAAUACGGGAGAGGGCAGUGGAAUUCCUAGUGUAGGAGUGAAAUCCGUAGAUAUUAGGAGGAACACCGGUGGCGAAGGCGGCUGCCUGGACCGAUAUUGACGCUGAGACGCGAAAGCGUGGGUAGCAAACAGG